rnacentral:rRNA from 1 species
GACGAACGCUGGCGGCGUGCUUAACACAUGCAAGUCGAGCGGAAAGGCCCUUCGGGGUACUCGAGCGGCGAACGGGUGAGUAACACGUGAGUAACCUGCCCUUCACUUUGGGAUAACCCUCGGAAACGGGGGCUAAUACCGGAUAUGACACAGGCUCGCAUGGGUUUCUGUGUGGAAAGAUUUUUUUGGUGGGGGAUGGGCUCGCGGCCUAUCAGCUUGUUGGUGGGGUNAUGGCCUACCAAGGCGACGACGGGUAGCCGGCCUGAGAGGGCGACCGGCCACACUGGGACUGAGACACGGCCCAGACUCCUACGGGAGGCAGCAGUGGGGAAUAUUGCACAAUGGGCGAAGCCUGAUGCAGCGACGCCGCGUGAGGGAUGACGGCC